CCUACGGGGGUCAGCAGUGAGGAAUAUUGGUCAAUGGGCGCGAGCCUGAACCAGCCAAGUCGCGUUAGGGAAGACGGUCCUAUGGAUUGUAAACCUCUUUUGUCGGGGAGCAAAAGACGCCACGCAUCGCGUUCCGAGAGUACCCGAAGAAAAAGCAUCGGCUCACUCCGUGCCAGCAGCCGCGGUAAUACGGAGGAUUAAAGCGUUAUCCGGUUUUAUUGGGUUUAACGUGUGCUUAGGCGGUCGGAUAAGUUAGAGGUGAAUUCCCGAGGCUCAACUUCGGAAUUGCCUCUGCUAAUGUUCGGCUAGAGAGUAGUUGCGGUAGGCGGAAUGUAUGGUGUAGCGGUGAAAUGCUUAGAGAUCAUACAGAACACCGAUUGCGAAGGCAGCUUACCAAGCUACUUCUGACGUUGAGGCACGAAAGCGUGGGGAGCAAACAGGAUUAGAUACCCUGGUAGUC
rnacentral:rRNA from 1 species